AACUAACAAGGAUUCCCCUAGUAACUGCGAGUGAAGCGGGAAAAGCUCAAAUUUAAAAUCUGGCAGUCUUUGGCUGUCCGAGUUGUAAUCUAGAGAAGUAUUAUCCGCGCUGGACCGUGUACAAGUCUCCUGGAAUGGGGCGUCAUAGAGGGUGAGAAUCCCGUCUUUGACACGGACUGCCAGGGCUUUGUGAUGUGCUCUCAAAGAGUCGAGUUGUUUGGGAAUGCAGCUCAAAAUGGGUGGUAAAUUCCAUCUAAAGCUAAAUAUUGGCGAGAGACCGAUAGCGAACAAGUACCGUGAGGGAAAGAUGAAAAGAACUUUGGAAAGAGAGUUAAACAGUACGUGAAAUUGCUGAAAGGGAAACGCUUGAAGUCAGUCGCGUUGGCCAGGGAUCAACCUUGCUUUUUGCUUGGCUUACUUUCUGGUUAAUGGGUCAGCAUCAAUUUUGACUGGUGGAAAAAGUUCAAGGGAAUGUGGCAUCUUCGGAUGUGUUAUAGCCUUUGUUCGCAUACAUUGGUUGGGAUUGAGGAACUCAGCACGCCGCAAGGCCGGGUUUUUAACCACGUACGUGCUUAGGAUGCUGGCAUAAUGGCUUUAAUCGACCCGUCUUGAAACACGGACCAAGGAGUCUAACAUGCCUGCGAGUGUUUGGGUGAAAAACCCGAGCGCGUAAUGAAAGUGAAAGUUGAGAUCCCUGUCGUGGGGAGCAUUGACGCCCGGAUCUGACCUUUUGUGACGAUUCUGCGGUAGAGCAUGUAUGUUGGGACCCGAAAGAUGGUGAACUAUGCCUGAAUAGGGUGAAGCCAGAGGAAACUCUGGUGGAGGCUCGUAGCGAUUCUGACGUGCAAAUCGAUCGUCAAAUUUGGGUAUAGGGGCGAAAGACUAAUCGAACCAUCUAGUAGCUGGUC
rnacentral:rRNA from 2 species